UACGUAGGGUGCGAGCGUUAAUCGGCAUUACUGGGCGUAAAGCGUGCGCCGGCGGUUAUGUAAGACAGAGGUGAAAUCCCCGGGCUCAACCUGGGAACUGCCUUUGUGACUGCAUGACUAGAGUACGGCAGAGGGGGAUGGAAUUCCGCGUGUGGCAGUGAAAUGCGUAGAUAUGCGGAGGAACACCGAUGGCGAAGGCAAUCCCCUGGGCCUGUACUGACGCUCAUGCACGAAAGCGUGGGGAGCAAACAGG
rnacentral:rRNA from 1 species